rnacentral:rRNA from 1 species
AUUGAACGCUGGCGGCAGGCUUAACACAUGCAAGUCGAGCGGAGAUGAGGUGCUUGCACCUUAUCUUAGCGGCGGACGGGUGAGUAAUGCUUAGGAAUCUGCCUAUUAGUGGGGGACAACAUUCCGAAAGGAAUGCUAAUACCGCAUACGUCCUACGGGAGAAAGCAGGGGAUCUUCGGACCUUGCGCUAAUAGAUGAGCCUAAGUCGGAUUAGCUAGUUGGUGGGGUAAAGGCCUACCAAGGCGACGAUCUGUAGCGGGUCUGAGAGGAGGAUCCGCCACACUGGGACUGAGACACGGCCCAGACUCCUACGGGAGGCAGCAGUGGGGAAUAUUGGACAAUGGGGGGAACCCUGAUCCAGCCAUGCCGCGUGUGUGAAGAAGGCAUUAUGGUUGUAAAGCACUUUAAGCGAGGAGGAGGCUACUGAGACUAAUACUCUUGGAUAGUGGACGUUACUCGCAGAAUAAGCACCGGCUAACUCUGUGCCAGCAGCCGCCGUAA